AGUGAACGCUGGCGGUAGGCCUAACACAUGCAAGUCGAACGGCAGCACAGUAAGAGCUUGCUCUUACGGGUGGCGAGUGGCGGACGGGUGAGGAAUACAUCGGAAUCUACUUUUUCGUGGGGGAUAACGUAGGGAAACUUACGCUAAUACCGCAUACGAACUACGGGUGAAAGAAGGGGAUCUUCGGACCUUGCGCGAUUGAAUGAGCCGAUGUCGGAUUAGCUAGUUGGCGGGGUAAAGGCCCACCAAGGCGACGAUCCGUAGCUGGUCUGAGAGGAUGAUCAGCCACACUGGAACUGAGACACGGUCCAGACUCCUACGGGAGGCAGCAGUGGGGAAUAUUGGACAAUGGGCGCAAGCCUGAUCCAGCCAUACCGCGUGGGUGAAGAAGGCCUUCGGGUUGUAAAGCCCUUUUGUUGGGAAAGAAAAGCAGCAGGUUAAUACCCCGCUGUUCUGACGGUACCCAAAGAAUAAGCACCGGCUAACUUCGUG
rnacentral:rRNA from 1 species